UUAGUUGCCAGCAUUCAGUUGGGCACUCUAAGGUGACUGCCGGCUAAAAGUCGGAGGAAGGUGGGGAUGACGUCAAAUCAUCAUGCCCUUAUGACCUGGGCUACACACGUGCUACAAUGGGCGGUACAAAGGGUCGCGAACCCGCGAGGGGGAGCCAAUCCCAAAAAGACCGCUCUCAGUUCGGAUUGCAGGCUGCAACUCGCCUGCAUGAAGCCGGAAUCGCUAGUAAUCGCGGAUCAGCAUGCCGCGGUGAAUACGUUCCCGGGCCUU
rnacentral:rRNA from 1 species